GAUGAACGCUGGCGGCGUGCCUAAUACAUGCAAGUCGAGCGAACAGACGAGGAGCUUGCUCCUCUGACGUUAGCGGCGGACGGGUGAGUAACACGUGGAUAACCUACUUAUAAGACUGGGAUAACUUCGGGAAACCGGAGCUAAUACCGGAUAAUAUAUUGAACCGCAUGGUUCAAUAGAUAAAGACGGUUUUGCCGUCACUAUUAGAUGGAUCCGCGCCGCAUUAGCUAGGUGGUAAGGUAACGGCCUACCAAGGCAACGAUGCGUAGCCGACCUGAGAGGGUGAACGGCCACACUGGAACUGAGACACGGUCCAGACUCCUACGGGAGGCAGCAGUAGGGAAUCUUCCGCAAUGGGCGAAAGCCUGACGGAGCAACGCCGCGGGAGUGAUGAAGGUCUUCGGAUCGUAAAACUCUGUUAUUAGGGAAGAACAAAUGUGGAAGUAACUAUGCACGUCUUGACGGUACCUAAUCAGAAAGCCACGGCUAACUACGUG
rnacentral:rRNA from 1 species